GACGAACGCUGGCGGCGUGCUUAACACAUGCAAGUCGAACGGAAAGGCCCUGCUUUUGUGGGGUGCUCGAGUGGCGAACGGGUGAUUAACACGUGAGUAACCUGCCCUUGACUUUGGUUUAACUUCAGGACACUUGGGCUAAUACCGGAUAGGAUCUCCUGCUGCAUGGUGGGGCUUGGAAAGUUUCGGCGGUUGGGGAUGUACUCGCGGCUUAUCAGCUUGUUGGUGGGGUAGUGGCUUACCAAGGCUUUGACGGGUAGCCGGCCUGAGAGGGGGACCGGCAAAAUUGGGACUGAGAUACGGCCCAGACUCCUACGGGAGGCAGCAGUGGGGAAUAUUGCACAAUGGGCGGAAGCCUGAUGCAGCAACGCCGCGUGCGGGAUGACGGCCUUCGGGUUGUAAACCGCUUUCGCCUGUGACGAAGCGUGAGUGACGGUAAUGGGUAAAGAAGCACCGGCUAACUACGUG
rnacentral:rRNA from 1 species